rnacentral:rRNA from 1 species
GACGAACGCUGGCGGCGUGCUUAACACAUGCAAGUCGAACGGAAAGGCCCCUUUUGGGGUACUCGAGUGGCGAACGGGUGAGUAACACGUGAGUAACCUGCCCUUGCCUUCGGGAUAACUUCAUGCAACUGGGGCUAAUACCGGAUAGGAAUCCUUGCUGCAUGGUGGGGGUUGGAAAGCUUCGGCGGUUUUGGAUGGACUCGCGGCUUAUCAGCUUGUUGGUGGGGUAGUGGCUUACCAAGGCUUUGACGGGUAGCCGGCCUGAGAGGGCGACCGGCCACAUUGGGACUGAGAUACGGCCCAGACUCCUACGGGAGGCAGCAGUGGGGAAUAUUGCACAAUGGGCGGAAGCCUGAUGCAGCAACGCCGCGUGCGGGAUGACGGCCUUCGGGUUGGAAACCGCUUUCAGCAGGGGCGAAGCUUGUGGUGACGGUACCUGCAGAAGAAGCACCGGCUAACUACGUG